AAUSYUGUAGUUAAAGUUUUAUAACAGCGGCUUUUCAGGUCGCGGGUCCCGGAGAGAGACCGGGUGGGAAUU
rnacentral:tRNA from 1 species